CCCCUUGUGAAGCGGGGGUAGUUUCCCCUAUAUAAGGGCUGUCAGCGCAAGCUGACUAUGGCGUUACACGACUUGACAGAAUAGACAUUACGGACCCGGGGGCGGUACCCGGCGGCUCCACCAACCUUUCGAUUUCGUCCGACUCAGGCGAUGUUCGUGGGGCCGAAACAGGAUCGACGUGUGUAGUAAAAGUCUAUGUUGGCGCUCGGCAUGGUACCACCGAUAUCGGGCCAAUGUUUGUAAACGCAAACGAUAACAAUGCUCCGGUUGCUGUUGCUGCGUAAGCGGCACUAGCACCAAAGCGAAAUUCCGGUUGCCGGGAGCGGUAACCUGGUGGGGGACGGGGCACCUAGCAACAGAACGCCCCAUU
rnacentral:tmRNA from 1 species